AACCUUGCGCAGUGGCAAUAUCGUAACCAAUGAAGGCCUCCUGAGGUGCGAUUAUUGCUAGUUGAAAACUUUUACCAACCUGCAGACGGCUAUACGCCAUGCAUUUCCUAAUAAUUUUUUGUUUAUUUUUUUUGUAUUUUACAUUUAAUUAUAAAU
rnacentral:snRNA from 1 species